CCUACGGGUGGCAGCAGUGGGGAAUAUUGCACAAUGGGGGAAACCCUGAUGCAGCGACGCCGCGUGAGUGAAGAAGUAUCUCGGUACGUAAAGCUCUAUCAGCAGGGAAGAAAAUGACGUUACCUGACUAAGAAGCCCCGGCUAACUACGUGCCAGCAGCCGCGGUAAUACGUAGGGGGCAAGCGUUAUCCGGAUUUACGGGGUGUAAAGGGAGCGUAGACGGCAGAACAAGUAUGGAGUGAAAUCCCUGGGCUUAACCACGGAACUGCUUUGGACACUGUGAGGCUGGAGUGCAGGAGGGGUAAGCGGAAUUCCUGGUGUAGCGGUGAAAUGCGUAGAUAUUAGGAGGAACACCGGUGGCGAAGGCGGCUUACUGGAAUGUAACUGACGUUGAGGCUCGAAAGCGUGGGGAGCAAACAGGAUUAGAUACCCGAGUAGUC
rnacentral:rRNA from 1 species